AGUCGCUCAUUCAUCUCGAUAUGUCAGCGUCCUGAGGGAAGCUUAUUUACGCUCCAUAUCUUCCGAAUGAUGCCAAUGUACGGUGCCUACCGUCCAACGUAACCGUUAAUCGUUGCUCCGGCGGCGUUAACAAUCACAGGGCGACACGUUGAGUGAGGCACCCCCUA
rfam:Sodalis praecaptivus strain HS1, complete genome.